rnacentral:rRNA from 1 species
GACAGAGGGGGCAAGCGUUGCUCGGAAUUACUGGGCGUAAAGGGCGCGUAGGCGGAAUGGCAAGUCGGUCGUGAAAUCCUUCGGCUCAACCGAAGAACGUCGAUCGAAACUGCCGUUCUUGAGGAUUGCAGAGGAGACUGGAAUUCCCGGUGUAGCGGUGAAAUGCGUAGAUAUCGUGAGGAACACCAGAGGCGAAGGCGGGUUGCUGGGCUGACACUGACGCUGGAGGCGCGAAAGCUAGGGGAGCGAACGGG